rnacentral:rRNA from 1 species
AUACGGAGGGAGCAAGCGUUAUUCGGAAUCACUGUGCGUAAAGGACGCGUAGGCGGGUUUGUAAGUCAGGUGUGAAAUCCUACAGCUCAACUGUAGAACUGCACUUGAAACUACAGACCUAGAGUAUGGAAGGGGCAGAUGGAAUUAGUGGUGUAGGGGUAAAAUCCGUAGAUAUCACUAGGAAUACCGAAAGCGAAGGCGAUCUGCUGGGACAUUACUGACGCUGAGGCGUGAAAGCGUGGGGAGCAAACAGGAUUAGAUACCCUAGUAGUCC